rnacentral:rRNA from 1 species
UACGUAGGGUGCGAGCGUUGUCCGGAAUUAUUGGGCGUAAAGAGCUCGUAGGCGGUUUGUUGCGUCGGCCGUGAAAACCUGCAGCUUAACUGUGGGCCUGCGGCCGAUACGGGCAGACUUGAGUUCGGUAGGGGAGACUGGAAUUCCUGGUGUAGCGGUGAAAUGCGCAGAUAUCAGGAGGAAUACCGGUGGCGAAGGCGGCAUCCUGGACCAUUACUGACGCUGAGGCGCGAAAGCUAGGGGAGCAAACGGG